GCCAGUGUGUUGUAAUGGUUUGAGCUGGACUAUGACUCUGGAGAGCAGGGUUCAAUUCCCAGCUUGGCCA